rnacentral:lncRNA from 1 species
UUUUAGUUCAAUUUCUUGUUCUAGCAAUUGGACUAGAUAUGCCAUGUUCAAAUUCACUACUACAUAUGUUAUUUUCUCACUCUCUGAUAGACUACAUGACUAGUUUAAUCUUUACUAUUAUGGUCAUGUUUUAUCUACUAUUUUUAUGGAUUAAAUCAUAUGGUAAACUGCUCAUAUUUCCAACACGCCCCAUGUACAUGUAUGGGUGUAACAAACACAUCCUAUGUGGUCAGUCUUCCUUCAUCAAAAUGUUCCAUGGCAAUCCAAUGAGAUUGAUGCCUCUAAUACCUAUGUUUAUAAGAAAAUAUAAGUUCAUUCAAUUAUUGGCAUCAGUAUACAGCAUUGCAUUGCAUAAGCUGAGAAACUUUGUGGCUCUCAUUUUAAUAUGGAACCGAACUGUCUACAGCAGCACUGAAGAUGAUGGUGGUUGGUUUCGCAUUCCAAUUGAUAAGGUGGGCGAAAGCCUCUUUCUAAGCAGUCACUCUGGCACGACACAUCAGUGCAACCCGCUAAAUCUCUGCAUAAGCGUCGUUGAACUACAAUGCAAUACAUCACAUAAGAAAAAAUUUAUUAAUACAGUCCAUAAAACUAAAAUAUUUGCUGACAGAUUAAUUAAUUUCAACAUUUGGAAACUGCAUGAAAAAUAUAAAUAAUGUUGCUUACUUGCUUGGCAGGACGGCAAUGUUGAGAACAUGAACACAAUGACCAAUAAAGCAACAACUAUGUUGUACAUGACCAUCCUUGUGUUUCUCUUGAUGAGUGCCAUGAGGAAAAAUGUGACUUAUGUUUGGUCUUUGUUUUUCUCUUCCAAGCUCCUUUACAGGUGUUUAUAUAGACGCACAACAAAAUCUUAGAUAUCAAUUGGUUGAUUUCAUGCAUUUAUG